rnacentral:rRNA from 1 species
CGAGUGGCGGACGGGUGAGGAAUACAUCGGAAUCUACUCUGUCGUGGGGGAUAACGUAGGGAAACUUACGCUAAUACCGCAUACGACCUACGGGUGAAAGCAGGGGAUCUUCGGACCUUGCGCGAUUGAAUGAGCCGAUGUCGGAUUAGCUAGUUGGCGGGGUAAAGGCCCACCAAGGCGACGAUCCGUAGCUGGUCUGAGAGGAUGAUCAGCCACACUGGAACUGAGACACGGUCCAGACUCCUACGGGAGGCAGCAGUU